GCGUGCGUGUGUGUGUAUGGGGUGCGCGCGCGUGUGCCCCGCGUGUGCACGGGCGUGGCGGCGGCGGGCGCGCGACCCGGCCGUGGUAAUGCGUGCCCGUUGCUCUGCGCACCCGCCCGCCCGCCGGAGCGCAGCAUCGCCUCCGGCCAAGAGUGUGCAUGCGUGGGGCAGAUGCAAAAGAGACAGCACCGAGAUGUUCAUCACAGCCUCAUGUAUCACGGAGAAAAGCUGGAAGCUACGUGCACAUCCAUCCAUGAGGGCUCAUUAAACAAGGGAUGGUACAGUCACAAGGUGGACGACUUGCUGCCGUUAGAAAGGAGGAAGCCAUCUGUAGGAGUAGAACCUGGAGCCAUCUCCCAGACACACGUGGACAGGGGUGACAGCCAUUUACAGAACGUUACGUGGGAUGUGUGCCUACAUGAGUGUGAACAGCACGGUCUCUGUGUGUACAAGAUAGUUCUGUCGGAGGAGCAGAGAGAAGCCGUGACGGGGCAGACAGAGGACUGGGAGGGCCCUGGGAUUGGAGUGUGUGUUGGUUUUCCUGCUGUAACAAAUGACCACACACUGGGGGACUGAAAGCAAUAGACAUUUAUUCUCAUACUUCUGGAAGCCAGAGGCCGAAAUCAAGGUGUCAUCCAGACCAUGCUUCCUUCGAAGGCUUAAGGGAGAAUCCUUCUUGGCCUCUUGCAGCUUCUGGUGGCUCCGGCCACCCUGAGCUUGUGGCAGCAUCACUCCCAGCUCUGCUCUCUUCUCCCCAUGUCUCUGUUUUCAAAUCCUUCUCCUUUCUCUUCUAAGGACAUUGUCAUUGGAUUUAGGACCUAUCCCAUUCCAGGAUGAUCUUAUUUUGAGAUCCUUAUUCUAAUUACAUCUGCCAAAAAACAAAAAAACAAAACCCCCUCAUUCCAAAUAAGGUCACAUUCUGAGAUUCUGGAUAGACAUGAAUUUGGGAGACACUAUUCAACCCCCCGAGUGGGGGAGGGGAAUGUGCUUUCCUACAAUAAAUCUGUGUUUAUGGA